CCUACGGGUGGCAGCAGUGAGGAAUAUUGGUCAAUGGGCGCGAGCCUGAACCAGCCAAGUAGCGUGAAGGAUGACUGCCCUAUGGGUUGUAAACUUCUUUUAUCAAGGAAUAAAGUGAGGCACGUGUGCCUUUUUGUAUGUACUUUAUGAAUAAGGAUCGGCUAACUCCGUGCCAGCAGCCGCGGUAAUACGGAGGAUCCGAGCGUUAUCCGGAUUUAUUGGGUUUAAAGGGGGCGUAGAUGGGUUGUUAAGUCAGUUGUGAAAGUUUGCGGCUCAACCGUCAAAGUGCAUUUGAAACUGGUAGCCUUGAGUACAGGUGAGGUAUGCGGAAGGCGUGGUGUAGCGGUGAAAUGCUUAGAGAUCACGAAGAACUCCGAUUGCGAAGGCAGCAUACUGAACUGCAACUGACGUUGAUGCUCGAAAGUGUGGGUAUCAAACAGGAUUAGAUACCCGAGUAGUC
rnacentral:rRNA from 1 species